rnacentral:sRNA from 1 species
AAGAUCAGGUGAGGCUUGCCUGCUAUCUCUUACCCAUGUCUUUUGAGUACUUACGUUUCCUCGGCGGGUCCGCCCGCCGAUUGGACAAUUUAAACCAUUUGCAGUUGCAAUCAGCGUCUGAAAAACUUUAAUAGUUACAACUUUCAACAACGGAUCUCUUGGUUCUGGCAUCGAUGAAGAACGCAGCGAAAUGCGAUAAGUAGUGUGAAUUGCAGAAUUCAGUGAAUCAUCGAAUCUUUGAACGCACAUUGCGCCCCUUGGUAUUCCAUGGGGCAUGCCUGUUCGAGCGUCAUUUGUACCUUCAAGCUUUGCUUGGUGUUGGGUGUUUGUCUCGCCUCUGCGUGUAGACUCGCCUUAAAACAAUUGGCAGCCGGCGUAUUGAUUUCGGAGCGCAGUACAUCUCGCGCUUUGCACUCAUAACGACGACGUCCAAAAGUACAUUUUUACACUCUUGACCUCGGAUCAGGUAGGGAUACCCGCUGAACUUAAGCAUAUCAAUAAGCGGGAGGAAAUG